CCCUUAGAUGUCCUGGGCCGCACGCGCGCUACACUGAGUGUCUGAGAUACGAGUCUGCCUGGUCCGGCAAGGUCUAGGUAAUCGCUAAAAGACACAUCAUGCUUGGGAUAGAUUAUUGCAAAUAUUAAUCUUGAACGAGGAAUUCCUAGUAAGCGCAAGUCAACAGCUUGCGUUGAUUACGUCCCUGCCCUUUGUACACACCGCCCGUCGCUACUACUGAUUGGAUGUUUAAGCGAGGUUCUCGAACUGCUAGCGACUUAGCUUCGGUGAGGUCGCAGUGUGGGAAGUGAACCGAGCUUUGGUGUCUAGAGGAAGUAAAAGUCGUAACA
rnacentral:rRNA from 1 species